GGUCCAAUAGCUCAGUUGGUUAGAGCGCUGGCCUGUCACGCCAGAGGUCGAGGGUUCGAGCCCCUUUUGGAUCG
rnacentral:tRNA from 1 species